UGGAGACGUGGCCACGGAGGGGAACGUACAUGGUAUUUGACGUUAUCACAACAAUAACCUUCUCUCUGUGUCUUCAUCCGCCAUAACGUGGCGUGACAGAGGUGAGCGUUGUCGUGUGGUUUUCACUGAAUACUCACCUUCCUUGGAGAAACUGUCAUGAUCCAACAAUCUCACCGACUGAAUGUAUUUCCCAGUGUGGGAGAUGUCUGAUUUCUUCAGGGGACGGACAGGAUAAACAACGGCACUGCACUCUCUGCUGCUAAAGAAGUGUUUCUUUUUUAUUUUCCGCCUCCUCAAGCAGACGUAUGCUAUUUUAGAAUCUUCUCCCCUAAUGUUCCCAUCAGAGUGGAAAAUGAUUUAUAGAUAACUUUGCCAACAUGUUUCCUCUGACUGAUGAAUAAUAGGGAUGUUUUGGAGCGGCCUGGCAUGUAAACAUGAAUCUGCUUGAGGAUUUAUGGAUUAGCAUGAUUGUCAAGGAGACGUACAGCAGCAAAGACUUAGAGUUCAUCACCCUGGACAAAAUG